AGGAAGAGGAGGUACUGGCUAUGGAGGAAAAGGAAGUGGAAGAGGAUUAGGACUUGGCCACGGAGAAGGAGCAGGAGGAAGAGGACCUGGCCACAGAGUAGGAGGAGGAGGAUGUGGCCAUGCAGGGGGAAGAAGAAGAGGCAGAAGAGGAGGUAGAGGACCUGGCUAUAGACUAGGAGGACCCAGGAAUGGAGGAGGAGGAGGAUGUGCUGAUGCAGGGGGAAGAAGAAGAGGAGGGGGAGGACCUGGCCAUAGGAAUGGAGCACGUGGUCAUAGACAAGAAAGCGGAAGAGGAUGACUUGGAUGAGGAGGAGGAGGAGGAGGGCAAGGCCAAGUCCUCUUCCACCUCCAUGGCCAGGUCCCCCUUGCCCAGAUGUGUAAAUAGGGCAGUAAUCAGCAGGAGCAGGGGGGGAUCUUACCUCUCUCUAUAGCAUUGGUAAGAGAGAUAAUGGAAUAGUGACAGGCAUUUCUCGUGUCCGUGUUUUAAAGGAUGGUGUUAAAUUGGAGAGGGUGCAGAAAAGAGUCACACAAAUGACCUGAGAGCUGGAGAAAAUGACCUACAGUGAGAGACUCAGACUGUAGGUGGGUGAAAUUUAAUGGCCUGGAACAUUCAGGAGGUCAGAUGAGAUGAUCCAAUGGUGCCUUCGGGCCUUAAGCUCUAUGAAACUCUAUGAAGCAUCGCCUCCCUCCACCCCCUGCUCCGAUGUGCUUCACCGCACAGAAGGGUGGCCGGACAGCCUAGAAUGACCCUGCUCCAAAGCGGCUCUGGGGGAGAAGACAGUGGUGAGAGUGAGAGGAACUAACUGAGGAGCUGCCCCAGGACUCUGGGCCCAGCUCUGUCCUCUCCAGCUCCAUGGACCGCAUGUGAAACCUCCUGUACCAGAAGCUCCCGUCCGGCUCCCCCAGCUCCGGUGCUGCUCAGACCCAGAGAGGCUGCCUCCUCCAUGGCCCAGUUCUCCUCCACCUCCUGCACAGCCUGAAGUGAUGGGUAAGGGAACCCAUGGCCACAGAGACCUCAUGGGCACGGGUGGGGAUUGAAUCUGGGCCCUUCACCACGGGCACAAGCUCUGUCAGGCUCCCAUUCAGAAAGCCAUGGAAGGCUCUGCCUGCAGAUACCCCCUCUCCAUUCCCACUGCCAGACUCUUGCCCGUGGUGACAAUGAAGAAGCAAGAGAAUUUCUGCCAGAGAACCCCGGGCUGCACAGUCGGGUGUCACUGGGACGUCUCUGGGAGCCAUUUCCAGGGUGUUCUGGUGGGGUCAUUUUCCUUCUCGAAUCCAGGGUGUGUCUGCUCCCAGAAUCUCAGCCAGGGAGGCCACCCUGCAGAAUAUGGCCCCGCAGUUUGGCGAUGGGCUGCAGGAGUCACCACGUAGGUGUGCAGCAGCUGUAGCGCCUGCACUGACCAUGGGCCAAAACCUGCAGCCCUGACAGCCCAGGAUACCCCCAGGGAUGGCAAUGGGAGGGUAGCCUGGGUAACUAGCUGCUGGGCCAGGGCAUAUAGAGAGAGGACUCAGAGAUGCAGCAAACCAAUGGCCAGAGAAGUGAAGGAUGUAAGGGCAAGAGAAGAGCUAGGACAGCUGGGGAGCUGCUGCGGCGCUUGGCAGGGCUGGCGCGUAUGGAUUUCCUCCACAUCCUCUGCACUGAAGACAGAAGUUUCUCCGCAAUGGCCUGGUCUUCCUGGAGUGCUCCUUUAGCGCCUCGAUCGCCUAGUGGCUUUGCUGACUGUUUGGCAGACUUCCUGCAUCCCAUGUACUUAACCAGUACUUUGCUGUUAGUUGUUGUGCCUUAGCUAGUUGCUCUUCACGUUCUUUUUUGGCCUUAUUAUACUUUGCAUUUGACUUGC